CCCUGGCCCACAGACCCGACCCCAGCAGCCCAGUCGACCCCAGAUCAUGAUUGUAUUUGAGAGGAGGGGGUUAGUCAGGUGGAAAGCCAGGAUGCUGGAAGAACUGACUCUUGCAGGGGUCACACCAGGAGGUGUCUAGGCAGUCCUCCUGCCUCCUUCCCCCGCAGUACGGGGGCGAACACAUCUGGAACAGGGCGUUUGAGGCUGCAAGAGAAGGUGAGGCUACACAAAAACAAUGGCAAGCACAAUUUGGGGUUUGUCUGAGGAGGGCUCUCUCACCUGCACCUCCCACGUAACAAGUGUCAAAGCUACAGGACAGUAUUUUGUGCUUCGUUUCACGAACGACAAGACUGAAGAUCAGAGAAGGGAGCAGCGGCUUUCUCAAGGAUCCAGGGGCAAGAAACAUCAAAGUAAAAAGCCAGGAUACUCAGGAUGCUGUGGACAGACCAAGGCCUGCAACCUGUGCCACAGGCUCAGGGGAAGAGAAAACACUCAGGAAGGGAUGGAGAGGCGGACAAAGCUGAAUGAAGAGUGCCUGCCGGGAGCACUGAGAGAAGCAGAGGACUGUGGAGGGAGCACUGAGAGAAGCAGAGCAUUAUGGAAAGCCAGGAGCAGGAGACCAGUGGGGCCCAGUGAGCUGGACAGACCUCUGCACUUGGUGGGAUUCCCAAAGCUCCCGGGGUUAUCCUGAGGUCUGCCUCUGUUGUGGAUCAGAACUCUAAAUUUGCAGCCUGCCUUCACUUGCUGCGGGACUGACUGUCUGGGAUUCGGGGACUCAGGAUCCUAGCCUGCUAAAAGAGGUUUCUAUUUCUCCCCUCCCCCACAUCUGUGAGCCCCACCCUGUGGGAAAGAGAGACUCCCAAACUACAGCACCCUCCACCCGCCCUGCUUGGAGACACCGACCACAGACAAAGGCAUCAAGCCAUCACUUGCUACCUCUUAGAAUCCCGUCCUCAAACCUGGACUUCAUAUCCAGUAAGGAACGCAGCCCGCAGCCCGUUCACACAGUGUGGCUGGUACACAGCUAGCUAAGGAGCUGUCCCAUCCCCCCAAACCAAGAGAGCUGUUCCACCACUGAAGCCCUGCCUCUGGCCCCUCCCUAAGCCACAAGCACACACCCUAGCUAGAACUAAAGUCGAGACUCCACCCAGCCCCAUACCGCAGAUGCAGCUCAGGAGAUGGCUGAGUGGACCUGGGGGGUCUGGAAAACCUGUUGGCCUGCCUCCUGGUUCAGUCUUAUCUCCACCCACCGCUCUCUGGUUUCCCCAUCGAGGAAGACAUCCCUGCCCAGUCACUGAAGACUCUGCCUCGUGAGGGCCCUGGGUUGUUCUUCCUUAGACCCAGCGAUGCAAGGCUUGUCCCGCACAGCUGAGCUCCAGCCCCUGAGAUCUUCGGGGCUCCUACACCCGAGUAUAGAAGUGUGUCCUCAUCACCUACAGAUGUAGCACUCGGAGGGCAUCAGGCCCAGGGGACUGCAGUUGGCCUCAGAGACCGCAAAGCCAGAGCAGGUUCAUGGCUCCCACAGCUCAUCCACCUGUCACCGUCACCACAUCCAGAGCUAAACCUAUGCUGGCUUCUCUGAGCCCUUCAGGAACACAUUCCCAAAGUUGUCCUGGAGGAGGCCCUGCACGUUCAAGCUGAUGAAGCUUUGCCCUGAUUUGGGGGUGCCUCUGACGCUUCAGAAGUUCUCCUACUCCUCAGCUCCUCCUCCAGGCCUCACAUGGGAGGACUCCCAGGGUGGGGCAGGGUACUGCAGUAAUAAAUGGAUGGA
rnacentral:lncRNA from 1 species